rnacentral:lncRNA from 1 species
AUGCAAUUGCAGGUAUCUGUAAUGUUGAUGAAUUAACAUCUGAUUUAGAAGCUUGUGAUCCACAGAGCUGGUGGGCUUCCUUCUGGAAGGGAGAAAGAGAGACAUAAGACACAUUGGAGCACAAGAACACGCUGGUGAUCCUUGAUGGUGGGAUAUCUGAGGAGCUAUUGGCAUAUCUGACACAGGGGACAAAAAUGUACAGGAAGAGAUGGUGUGAUAUGCAGCAGUCUCAGAUACCUGCCAUUGCCAUACACAAUGGAAGUGAGCGAGCAGGCACUGAGAGGCAGCAUGAAGAGGUUGGGGUUUCAAAUGCCACGCAGCUUCAGCGGUCAUAAAGAUGGUGGUGAUGAUGAUGAUUACUCGGUUCCCCACUCCUGACUAUAGACAAUCAUGACCUUAUCAAAGACACCUUCUCUACCCAACCUGUCCUGAGAGUACAUCCAUAGCUCUAACACUUUAUCCAACCUAAUUUUUUAUUGUAAAUAUCAUCGUUACCUGACAUUACAUCAUAUAUGAGGUUGCAUUUCAAAUGGAUGAUCUGACUUAGUAGAAUAUAAGCUACAUGGAAACAAGGAUUUUGUCUCUUUUUUUGUCCCACCAGCACUUAGACUAAUACCUGGCAUUCAAUAAACAAUUAAUGAG